rnacentral:rRNA from 1 species
CCCUACGGGGCGCAGCAGUGAGGAAUAUUGGUCAAUGGGCGGGAGCCUGACCCAGCCAAGCCGCGUGAGGGAAGAAGGUACAGCGUAUCGUAAACCUCUUUUGUCAGGGAACAAAGGCAGGGACGUGUCCCCGGAUGAGUGUACCUGAAGAAAAAGCAUCGGCUAACUCCGUGCCAGCAGCCGCGGUAAUACGGAGGAUGCGAGCGUUAUCCGGAUUUAUUGGGUUUAAAGGGCGCGCAUGCGGUCUGUUACGUCAGCGGUCAAAGGC